GAGUUAAGAUCGAAGUCUCAUCAGAUAUUGUAGAGAUACUUGAGAAUAAACGCUGCAUAGAACUCUGUCUUCAUUAGUUCAGUUUCUGUUAUAUUCUUCUCUACACGAUGACUUCAAGGUAGUUCUAUUGAAUGAUCAGAAAUGUAUAUCUCUAAGGUUUCUCGAUAUUCGUCGUCGCCGAUUUGUGAUGAAACAUUUAUUCUCAAGAUUGCUUGAAAAUAUCACAAAAGAUAAAGAACGGGCUACGCCAGUUUUAUCUAAGUAAGGGGAUUGAAUAAACCCCCCCCCCCCUAGUUCACGAAAAGGGCCCAUGUAGCCUGGAACAAGGUAAAGCAAACUUGUUGUUUGCAACACAAAGGUUUCAGAAUUACUGCAAAUUGUUUUUGCUAGAUAAAGGUUUUCAGAAUUACAGCAAAUUGUUUUUGCUAGAUAAAGGUUUUCAGAAUUA